UACGUAGGGCCCGAGCGUUGUCCGGAAUUACUGGGCGUAAAGAGCUCGUAGGUGGUUUGUCGCGUUGUUCGUGAAAACUCACAGCUCAACUGUGGGCGUGCGGGCGAUACGGGCAGACUAGAGUACUGCAGGGGAGACUGGAAUUCCUGGUGUAGCGGUGGAAUGCGCAGAUAUCAGGAGGAACACCGGUGGCGAAGGCGGGUCUCUGGGCCGAUACUGACGCUGAGGAGCGAAAGCGUGGGGAGCGAACAGG
rnacentral:rRNA from 1 species